AGAGUUUGAUCCUGGCUCAGGAUGAACGCUAGCUACAGGCUUAACACAUGCAAGUCGAGGGGCAGCAUGAGCUUAGCUUGCUAAGUUUGAUGGCGACCGGCGCACGGGUGCGUAACGCGUAUCCAACCUUCCCGUUACUCUCGGACAGCCUUCCGAAAGGGAGAUUAAUACGAGAUGGUGUUCAAUUGGUGCAUAUUAUUUGAACUAAAGAUUUAUCGGUAACGGAUGGGGAUGCGUACCAUUAGCUUGUUGGCGGGGUAACGGCCCACCAAGGCUUCGAUGGUUAGGGGUUCUGAGAGGAAGGUCCCCCACACUGGAACUGAGACACGGUCCAGACUCCUACGGGAGGCAGCAGUGAGGAAUAUUGGUCAAUGGCCGUAAGGCUGAACCAGCCAAGUAGCGUGAAGGAUGAAGGUUCUAUGGAUUGUAAACUUCUUUUAUACGGGAAUAACACCACCUACGUGUAGGUGCCUGCAUGUACCGUAUGAAUAAGCAUCGGCUAACUCCGUGCCAGCAGCCGCGGUAAUACGGAGGAUGCGAGCGUUAUCCGGAUUUAUUGGGUUUAAAGGGAGCGUAGACGGGUGAUUAAGUCAGUUGUGAAAGGCUGCGGCUCAACCGCAGCACUGCAGUUGAUACUGGUUACCUUGAGUGCGUACGAGGUACGUGGAAUUCGUGGUGUAGCGGUGAAAUGCUUAGAUAUCACGAAGAACCCCGAUUGCGAAGGCAGCGUACCAGUCCGUAACUGACGUUGAUGCUCGAAAGUGUGGGUAUCAAACAGGAUUAGAUACCCUGGUAGUCCACACGGUAAACGAUGGACACUCGCUGUUGGCGAUAUACUGUCAGCGGCCAAGCGAAAGCGUUAAGUGUCCCACCUGGGGAGUACGCCGGCAACGGUGAAACUCAAAGGAAUUGACGGGGGCCCGCACAAGCGGAGGAACAUGUGGUUUAAUUCGAUGAUACGCGAGGAACCUUACCCGGGCUUAAAUUACAGAGGACAGAUCCAGAGACGGAUCCUUCUUCGGACCUCUGUGAAGGUGCUGCAUGGUUGUCGUCAGCUCGUGCCGUGAGGUGUCGGCUUAAGUGCCAUAACGAGCGCAACCCUUGCUUCCAGUUGCCAUCAGGUCAUGCUGGGGACUCUGGAAGGACUGCCAUCGUAAGAUGUGAGGAAGGUGGGGAUGACGUCAAAUCAGCACGGCCCUUACGUCCGGGGCUACACACGUGUUACAAUGGGGGGUACAGCAGGCCGCUACCGGGCGACCGGAUGCCAAUCCCUAAAACCCCUCUCAGUUCGGACUGGAGUCUGCAACCCGACUCCACGAAGCUGGAUUCGCUAGUAAUCGCGCAUCAGCCACGGCGCGGUGAAUACGUUCCCGGGCCUUGCACACACCGCCCGUCAAG
rnacentral:rRNA from 1 species